GACGAACGCUGGCGGCGUGCUUAACACAUGCAAGUCGAACGGAAAGGCCCUGCUUUUGUGGGGUGCUCGAGUGGCGAACGGGUGAGUAACACGUGAGUAACCUGCCCUUGACUUUGGGAUAACUUCAGGAAACUGGGGCUAAUACCGGAUAGGAGCUCCUGCUGCAUGGUGGGGGUUGGAAAGUUUCGGCGGUUGGGGAUGGACUCGCGGCUUAUCAGCUUGUUGGUGGGGUAGUGGCUUACCAAGGCUUGGACGGGUAGCCGGCCUGAGAGGGUAACCGGCCACAUUGGGACUGGGCUACGGCCCAGCCUCCUACGGGAGGCAGCAGUGCGGAAUAUUGCACAAUGGGCGGAAGCCAGAUGCAGCAACGCCGCGUGCGGGAUGACGGCCUUCGGGUUGUAAACCGCUUUCGCCUGUGACGAAGCGUGAGUGACGGUAAUGGGUAAAGAAGCACCGGCUAACUACGUG
rnacentral:rRNA from 1 species